rnacentral:rRNA from 1 species
UACGAAGGGGCUAGCGUUGUUCGGAAUUACUGGGCGUAAAGGCGCGUAGGCGGUACUUCAAGUCAGGCGUGAAGCCCGGCUCAACCUGGACCGCGCUUGAGACUGAAGAACUAGAGUUCGGGAGAGGAUGGUGGAAUUCCCAGUGUAGAGGUGGAAAUUCGUAGAUAUUGGGAAGAACACCGAUGGCGAAGGCAGCCAUCUGG